rnacentral:rRNA from 1 species
GAUGAACGCUGGCGGCGUGCCUAAUACAUGCAAGUCGAGCGAACAGAUGAGGAGCUUGCUCCUCUGACGUUAGCGGCGGACGGGUGAGUAACACGUGGAUAACCUACCUAUAAGACUGGGAUAACUUCGGGAAACCGGAGCUAAUACCGGAUAAUAUAUUGAACCGCAUGGUUCAAUAGUGAAAGACGGUUUUGCUGUCACUUAUAGAUGGAUCCGCGCCGCAUUAGCUAGUUGGUAAGGUAACGGCUUACCAAGGCAACGAUGCGUAGCCGACCUGAGAGGGUGAUCAGCCACACUGGAACUGAGACACGGUCCAGACUCCUACGGGAGGCAGCAGUAGGGAAUCUUCCGCAAUGGGCGAAAGCCUGACGGAGCAACGCCGCGUGAGUGAUGAAGGUCUUCGGAUCGUAAAACUCUGUUAUUAGGGAAGAACAAAUGUGUAAGUAACUAUGCACGUCUUGACGGUACCUCAUCAGAAAGCCACGGCUAACUACGUG